rfam:Picea glauca, whole genome shotgun sequence.
ACAUGCCCACAACAUAGCGUUAAUGCACCAGAUCCCAUUAAAACUCUGCAAUUAAGCGCACUCAGACUAGAGUAGUAAUGGGAUGGGUGACCACCAAGGAAGUCCUAGUGUUUACAUGCC